rnacentral:tRNA from 1 species
AGCAGUGUAGCCUAAUGGGUAGAGCACGAGUAAGAGGACCUGGGUUCUAAUCCCGGCUCUGCCA